AGUAAAUUAAGGAAUGCAUUAUAGCUGUUAAAGCAAUCUUAAGGGAAAUCUGAGGCUUCCACUGCAGCACCAUGCUUACAACCCUUCUGAAGAGACCAACUGCACAAUGGAGGAGUGGAUGGAGACUAUGAAUAUUCACAGCGCUGCUUCCAGGAUUCACCCAUGACCAAAUUCCUCAUCAUGAGCACCAUGAAGCUGAUCACAAGUUCCUGUCACGUGUAUGUGACUCUUACAUUCCUGUUUCUGCUUCACUUCUCCCAAAGAGUAACAAAACAAGUUAGAACUGUUCUUCUGUAAUUUGGAAGAUGACUCUCCAAUUUUAUUCAGAGUUAGAAAACAAGCAGAUUUGUUGCCUGUGAUAUUAUCAAGAUGGUUAGCAGAAAUAACAAGAGUAACAAGAGUUCUGUUUACUUAUCAGAAUCUCAUACUUUGUGGAUUUCUUUCUUUUUUCUUUUUUUUCCUAUACCUCCACCCCGCCCCCAAUCUAGGGAUUCUGGUGUAUAUUUACAUGCUUUUGCAAGAGACAGGAAAGAAAAGAACACAGCAGUUGCUUAUGCACUGUUUGCUGCCACAUCUGCAGUUGCUGACCUCCAACGAAAUACUUCUGAAGUUGCUUGCAUUAGUAAACACAGGACCUAUGGUAAACAACUACAUAACUAUAGUUCAAUACAAUCACUUACGAAUAGCCCCAGUAUGCAAGUGAUUCCACCUGAUGUGCAUUUGACCCAGUGGUCUGUCAGAGAGUCACACCUCUCCUGCUGCUCAUACAAAACUCCUUUCUUUCAGCAUGCUACUGCAAUUCACUUCUACUUUGUAAGUGGUUUACAUUGUUCUGCUGAAAUUAACAGGGAUCUUUUCAGCUUUGAGAUCUUCAGCUGAAAUGUGUUAUAGAAAUGCAAAUAAACUACUACCUUAUUAUUUUAUGCAGAGACUGCUGUAUAGAUCUACCUAGCCAUUACAUUUACUUUCCAUGCCUAUCAGUAUGCACUCAGAGAUUGAUAGAUGAUGGUUUUAUAAUUCUUAAAUACUUUCUGAUACCCUAAACCUAUAGAGCCUUCAGACAUUUUGUUCAGGAGAUCUGGAAUACUUUGCUACUUGAAAUAAAAAGAGCUUCAAUUGGCAUGGUUUUAAAUCCAAACAUUUAAGGCAUUGAUUUUACUUAGUUUUUCUAAAGUAACUCCUUUAGGAAAUUGAGUGCUACUUUGCUAAUUUUAACUUUAUUCAUUUUGAAGUGCUCCAGGAUACUAGCACAAAGGGCACUGUAAAAAUUGCAUUGUGCUGUAUUAGGUUGAAUAGGAUGAGUUAUAGAACUCUUUGAGACUUGCAUUUCUAGAAUUUAGUUAUUAAAAUGCUUAUAAUGCUAAAGGUUUUCAUUUUAUGUUUGGGCUUUUUUCCUUAAUAAUCAUAGUUUCUAAGAAAUAUCUACCCUACACAGACCAUCUCUGUAAGCUUUCUAAUAUUUUCUUUGUCAAAUGGCUGUACAGAAAAAUUUAUAGAAGUUAUUCACACCUAUAUAAAUGUCAUUUAAAACUCAAUUUUUUAUUGCCUAAAUUAUAGUAGAAGUUCAUUUUUUAUACCGCUUUUCCAGUGAUGUAUAAUCUGUAAAAUGAUUUUUUUUUCUUUUGCAAUAUGAUAAAUAUGCUCACUCUGUAUAAAUCUGAAUAUAGCAUGCAAAAAUUAUUUUUGUUGCAUAGUAAGAGUUCAGAACAGCCAGUGCAAAAUGAAGUAAUUCAUGUGUUUGAAUUUUAGAACAUUUUUACUGUAUGAGUUUUGGAUGUUUGUAACCUACUACAGUAAAAUUAAAUGUAUAAAUACAACAAAGAUUACAUUAAUUUUCCUUUGAUGAUUAUAAAUUUUAUUCAGGAUGCAUCAUCACUGAUCUCAGUUUAAAAUAAAUAAAUAAAUAAAUAAAUAAGUUCAAAACACUUUAAUUUUUAAAAUAAUAUUAUAGUGUUAUAAUGAGUUUUUUCCCAUAAGUAUCUCUUCAAGAUAGUAUAGUGUGCAAAUGUAGAGAAAAAAGUAAGAUUCUGAUUUUUCCUCUCUGCUUUCUGGUGAUUUGUCUCAAUCUCAUGCAUACUCAAGUAUACACUGUGAGGAAUAAACACCUAACACAAACAGGCAUAGAAAUACUUUAAAAGCAAUAAGCAAAAUGUAAAAAAAAAAAUUUAAAAAAAAAAAAGUUUGAGUUGAGAGAGGAAAAAAUCAGAAGUAUUCAAAAAGGUAAACAUUGGCUUUGUAUGGAAUAAAUGGAACUUUCCUUAA